rfam:Candida glabrata strain CBS138 chromosome I complete sequence.
AGCAUAUCGAUUAUCCAGUAUCAUUGGCUGUCUGCAUUUAACCUACUUGCAAACGGUCUCUCUAAGCUGGAAGAAUAAGUCCAUGCAUCAUAAAUUUUAGUGGUGUGUUGGCGAGAAGCUUCAAGUUCAGUGAUUUAUAUCUGAUACAUCUCUUGAUGUAUCAUACUCUAUGAUUUUCUUCACUCUACAGCUUUUCAGACAUGU